UACAGAGGUCCCAAGCGUUGUUCGGAUUUACUGGGCGUAAAGGGCGCGUAGGCGGCGCGGUAAGUCACUUGUGAAAUCUCUGAGCUUAACUCAGAACGGCCAAGUGAUACUGCAGUGCUAGAGUGUGGAAGGGGCAAUCGGAAUUCUUGGUGUAGCGGUGAAAUGCGUAGAUAUCAAGAGGAACACCUGAGGUGAAGACGGGUUGCUGGGCCAACACUGACGCUGAGGCGCGAAAGCGUGGGGAGCGAACAGG
rnacentral:rRNA from 1 species